CCUACGGGUGGCAGCAGUGAGGAAUAUUGGUCAAUGGCCGGAAGGCUGAACCAGCCAUGCCGCGUGAAGGUCAGUGCCCUAUGGGCGUUAAACUUCUUUUUUUAGGGAGCAAUAAUGGUCACGUGUGGCCAGACGAGAGUACCGUACGAAUAAGCAUCGGCUAACUCCGUGCCAGCAACCGCGGUAAUACGGGGGAUGCCAGCGUUAUUCGGAUUUAUUUGGUUUAAAGGGUGCGUAAGCUGUGAGGUAAGUCAGGGGUUAAAUGCCCGCGCUCAACGGGGUGAAGUGCCAUUGAUACUGCCUUGCUGGAGUGCGGAUGCCGUGGGAGGAAUGUGUGGUGUAGCGGUGAAAUGCAUAGAUAUCACACAGAACACCGAUUGCGAAGGCAUCUCACGAAUCCGCUAUUGACGCUGAUGCACGAAAGCGUGGGUAUCAAACAGGAUUAGAUACCCUUGUAGUC
rnacentral:rRNA from 1 species